rnacentral:rRNA from 1 species
UUUUUUAAAUGGAAAUAAACCCGGGUAGAUAGUAUUUCUUGAACCCAAAGAUUGGCGGUAUUUAUUUUUUUAAAGAACCUGUCCGGUAUUGAAAUCCCCGAUAAGAGCCCUUAUUUUGUUUCCAUUUGAAACCUCCGUCUCAGAGAUCUUUUAGGGUAUAAUAUUCUUAAUAUAAAAAUAUUAUAUUCAGUCCAGGGCCAUUUAUGAUAGUAUAGAGGGUACAUAAUUUAUUUAACGGAUUAUUAUUUUAUAAUAUAUGAAGGGGAUUUAAAAGUAAAAUAAUUUAAUUGGUGAUUGAUAUAGUUUUAAAUAAGCCCCCAUUCGCCGGUCGUUUUAUUUUAAAAUAAGAUAAGUCGGUACCAUAGAGGGUCCGGAAGGUGUCCUAG